rnacentral:rRNA from 1 species
GCGGAGGGAUCAUUACCGAGUUUACAACUCCCAAACCCCUGUGAACAUACCAAUUGUUGCCUCGGCGGAUCAGCCCGCUCCCGGUAAAACGGGACGGCCCGCCAGAGGACCCCCAAACUCUGUUUCUAUAUGUAACUUCUGAGUAAAACCAUAAAUAAAUCAAAACUUUCAACAACGGAUCUCUUGGUUCUGGCAUCGAUGAAGAACGCAGCAAAAUGCGAUAAGUAAUGUGAAUUGCAGAAUUCAGUGAAUCAUCGAAUCUUUGAACGCACAUUGCGCCCGCCAGUAUUCUGGCGGGCAUGCCUGUUCGAGCGUCAUUUCAACCCUCAAGCCCAGCUUGGUGUUGGGACUCGCGAGUCAAAUCGCGUUCCCCAAAUUGAUUGGCGGUCACGUCGAGCUUCCAUAGCGUAGUAGUAAAACCCUCGUUACUGGUAAUCGUCGCGGCCACGCCGUUAAACCCCAACUUCUGAAUGUUGACCUCGGAUCAGGUAGGAGCAAAAGAAACCAACAGGGAUUGCCCUAGUAACGGCGAGUGAAGCGGCAACAGCUCAAAUUUGAAAUCUGGCUCUCGGGCCCGAGUUGUAAUUUGUAGAGGAUACUUUUGAUGCGGUGCCUUCCGAGUUCCCUGGAACGGGACGCCAUAGAGGGUGAGAGCCCCGUCUGGUUGGAUGCCAAAUCUCUGUAAAGUUCCUUCGACGAGUCGAGUAGUUUGGGAAUGCUGCUCUAAAUGGGAGGUAUAUGUCUUCUAAAGCUAAAUACCGGCCAGAGACCGAUAGCGCACAAGUAGAGUGAUCGAAAGAUGAAAAGCACUUUGAAAAGAGAGUUAAAAAGUACGUGAAAUUGUUGAAAGGGAAGCGUUUAUGACCAGACUUGGGCUUGGUUAAUCAUCUGGGGUUCUCCCCAGUGCACUUUUCCAGUCCAGGCCAGCAUCAGUUUUCCCCGGGGGAUAAAGACUUCGGGAAUGUGGCUCUUCUUCGGGGAGUGUUAUAGCCCGUUGUGUAAUACCCUGGGGGGGACUGAGGUUCGCGCAUCUGCAAGGAUGCUGGCGUAAUGGUCAUCAACGACCCGUCUU